UGCACACAUGCACACAUACACACAUAAAUACAUACAUACAUACACACUAUUAUAGUCAUAUCAGUCCCUACCCUCAAAUGUACAAUCUAGGGCCCCUAUCUUGAUACGUAUGGAGCCAAUUAACCUACCAGCAUGUCUUUGGAGGGUGGAAGGGAACCCAUGCAGGCACAGGAAGAACAUGCAAACUCCAGGCAGGUAGUGUUGUGGUUGGAACUAUCGAACUUGGUCCUGCCAGGCAGAGGAUGCUAAUUACCAAGCCACUGUGCUGCCCAGGAGACCUAUGCAUAAUAGAAACAGGCUGCCAGCUGUAAAAUGGUUAUAAAAAUACAAUUUGGUAUCCAUCAUGACUGUUCUACACUUAUCCACGUUUUUGUUUGCGGUUACUAUAGGGUGUUACCCCAUGUUUGUAUUUUAAUUAUUUUUGUUGGGAAAUAAAUUUUGUUUUGUAUGGAACAGUUGACUGGUGAAUUUUUUGUUUUUUUGAUGGUGUUAUGUAGUUGAUACAACAGUACUGGUUUCGUCUACUUGGCUGGUUUUAGGUAAAGGCCAAAUCUUGACUCUGCCUUGAGCACAGCCGUGCAAAUUAAUGAAUCCGGGGCUGUGAACCAAAAGAAAAAUCCUUUGAAUUAAUGAUGCAUAACUUUUUCGUGGAGAACCUAUUUAAGUGGUUUCCAGGAGAAAAAGGAAGUCCUCUGUUUGUGGACCUCCCCUUACUCUGCUUCUGUGAUUUUUAUUUAUUUUUUCCUUCUAUGACUUUAAGCUGUACGUUUUAACAGAUUUUACUUGCAUCGCGUAUAUAGCUGAAACAGUAUAGAACCCUUUAAAACUGGUCAGGCUUUAGAUUAAGCCCUUGUUCACACUGCUGUGGCUUUCGACUCCGACAUCCCUGUGCGUUUUCAUUGCGGCUUGCAUACGUCAAUACAGGUCGUGUCUAAGUCACACCAAACAGUUCCAUUGUUGAUGGGGCUCGACUUGUCAUGCAACUUGAACACUGAAGUUGUGACGGUGUGAACGGGGGCUUUAGUACUAUAUAGAUGGGUGGCAGGAAGGUGAAGGCUUUUUCGUUUUAAGGAGGGUUCACAAGCAAAUGGGGGAUUUCCAUUUUUCCUGGAAAUUCCUUCUUUUAAGGGUUCUUGUCUACUGGCAUUUAGGUUUGUAAAGACUCUGGUUGGCAUGGCUCUGCAACCAUGUAAAGGAAGUUUUAAGAGUAUUACCUCCCUUUCAGUGGUUCAUUUUGUUUUUUCUUUAUUUUUAAUGCAUCUGUACACUCUUGUACUCAGCUGGUAAACUGUACAGAAUGCCAACUGAGCCCUUGUUCAACCUUAUGGACAAAAAUAAGUGCCAGUAUGCUAGGGCUCUGAUGAGAGAAUCCUGUUUAUGCUUACUAGUCCACCAAUAAUACAGUUGAACUAGAAUGGAAAGCAGAAUGUAAUGCAUACCAUGAUCCAUUUGUUUGGGACAGCAUUAAUAUAAUAAUGAUGGUAGACUUUAUUUAAAUGUCCGUGUAAGUAAUUCAAUGCAUACUCUGCAUAACAUGCCAGUUCACUAUUGCUUCUGUUCUAUUAGAUCCCAAUCAAAUGCAGUCUUUUGCCCAUUCUCUGAAGUAAAUCCAGUAUAGGAGUAGCUGUAAUAUUGUGAGGAGAACUGUGCAUCAUCCUAGAUACAUGCACUGUAAGUACCUCAAAAUGAUCCAAUGUUGCGCAAUGAUCUUGCUGUGCAGUGCUAUAUAUUACAUAAUGUUAAUGUGGAUUGUCGGGGGGUAAGUAUGUAGGCUUAGUUGCAGGAAGAUUUUUUUUUUUCUUUCUUGCCAGUCUUCUAGCUUUAUUUGAAAAAAAAAAAAAAAUUGCAGAUUUUAUUGAUAUUGCAGUCCAGCUCGUGAUGAUCCCAUUAGGUCACUGCUUUAUAUUUGUCUUUUUUCAUAUAGUUGAACCUGUGCAUUUCUAGAACUGCAAUGUAAUUUCAAAUGGUCUCUGAUGGCUUUUUUUUUUUUUUUUUUUUUUUUUUUUUUGUUAUAUGCCAGUGUUUUUGUUUCUCCUCCACCUCAUACCUGACUCGGAAAUAGGCAGAGAAAUUUUGUGCAGUUUUGUAUGACGAUAUGUCUUGAUAAAUUUUGAGCCUUGACAUGUUCCGAUAAAAUUCACAUGACAUUUGUGACCGUUGAAAUUGGAGGCUGUCAAUCUAAUUCCAGGUCUUAAUAUAUCUAUAUAGUUGGAAAGAGAACUAUUUAAUCCUCAGUGCCUUCCCAGAUCUUCCACCUUAGGUUUUGCUGCAAAGUACCUCAGUGCUGAAGAUGCUGCAAUUGAUAGCUCAUAAAAUCAGGUCCUGAGGUAGUUCCCACCCAAAAGGAGGAAUCCUUUUCUGUGUAUGCCAUUGGUGAGCCGAUGAGCAUGGACGUAGAAGGGCUCAUGUAGAAGGUAACACUAUAAUGAUGCAUAAUAGUGCAGAUUGUCGUUCAUCACUAUUGAUGCUUUUUGAACUAUUUGCCCUCUAAAUUACUUUCAUACCAUAGUGUGCAUAUCUCUUCCAAUUAUGUUCCUUGUUCAUAGAACUAUCCGAAUGAGCCUGAUUUUAUUUGAAGUGAUGUAUUUUUUUGCUAUUGAUUGUAGGGAUUUUUUUUUCCUUUUGUAGUCUAUUAAACAUGUGCAAUGUUUAUUGAACAUAUUUGCCAUCAAAAUUUCUGUCAUACUCAAACUUUUAUUUACCCUCCAAAUUACAGUCACAGGUAGUGUUCAUAUAUCUGCCAAUUAUGUUCCUUGUUGAUAGAACUAUCCUAUUUGAGUCUGGUUUUUAUUUGCGAAGUGAUGUGUUUUUUUAUUUUUUUUGUAAUGGCUAUUGUAGCUUUACCAGUACUUUAAUGUAGUACUGGUAGAAUACUGACUUUUUUUUUUCCUCUCCCACACUGUAUUAUGCAUAAAAUCUAAACUGUUUUUAAUUUGCAUAUAGAUUUUAAACUACCAUGAUACAGAACACAUCCUUGUAUAGUAAAGAGCUUAGUUUACUUUGCAUUUCUAAUUUAUCAAAUGUUCUAAGCUAGUAUCCUAACCCCAGGAUGUAUGCAAUUUUCCAGCAAUUGUUGGAUUGCAGGAAGUGUGGUCACAGCUUGCAUAUGCACCUGGUGUUGGGUUCACUGGCCAAGCUUGACUCAAGGCAGGUACAUCUUCACAAUUCUCCUUCUGGACUGACAGAUGAGUGGUACAGAGGUAGUUUGUAGUAUUAUACCCAAAGCAGCAAUACAUGUAUAGCUUUUUAACUGAUGUGGCGCUUCAAGCUCUGAUAUGCUAGAACUUGCUACAACUGAAGGCUUAUUCCAGCUUUUUCAAUAUUGUGUGACUUUUAACUGCCUUUUACAAAUACAGUGUAGUUGUAGAUAUUGUGAUCAUUUUGCCAGCAUCCAAGGAAAACCGUUUUUAUAAGGAGUCCAGUCGCCUGUUGGCAAAGUAUUUUUAAUUUUUUUUGUACCUUUUGUGACAAACUGAAAUUGUGCAGUUCAACCGGUUGCAUCCACCUUCCUUUUUAAAAGACUGUUUUAAAGCGACAAAUAAAAUCAAAAGACUUGGUGCCUCCUGUAAAGAGCGCUCAUUUGUGCCUCCCCCCCACACAGACUAUAUUCACAUUUUCAGUCGGCUACCUGGGUCCCCUGCUGGGGGGUUAGAAGUUUGAUCAUACAACACUGGUCCAUGGCAAUGUAUGGGGCCAGUGGGGAAGAACCACAGCGGGAAUCGGGUACCUUUCAGAACUGUCAGAUUCUUCAGACAGCCACAUGUCUGCAGUCUAGUUGGGGUCGGCCGCAUGAGGAGUUGGGGCUUUAGCCUAGGUUCACACUUGUGCCGGGAAUAGCACCUGUUGCUGCAGCCAAAAGCGUGCUGAUGUUUAAAAACAGCGCGUUUUGCAGGCACGGGUACCAACAGGAAAUCAUGGUAUUUCCCUUCUGCUGCAUUUCAAAUAUAAAACCUUUUUCCUGCAUUAAAUGCAGUCACAGCAACCUAUUCAAAUGAAUGGGCUAGUGUGUCUGUGCAGGCUCAUCUCGCAGAGCUGUAGUAGUGUGAAUCGGGCCUUAAUGCACAUUAGGGGUUCAAGCCACACCUAACCCACAUCAGUGUGUUUUUGCCAAUAUCUGCAGCUGUUCACAUGUAAUUAAGUCUGGAUCAAUUACCUGCGUAAGGAACAAAUGUAUGUCCCUGAAUGCAAGCAGUCUGCAUCUAAUAGGUGCAGAUCUAUCCUUAACUGCAGGUAAUUGCACCACAUGUUGAUCUGGAGAGGUGUACAAGCCUAAUCUGCUGUGUGCAUGAUGCCUAAAGUAUGAGCGGUCUUUGCCGGAGGCACUUGUUUGUUUUAUUUUUAUUCUAGUGACGGGGGUCAACAUUGACUGGGUUAUAUUGGGACUGCUGAUCCAGAUUAUACAUUUUUUUUGUCUGUCUGUGGAACUAGAUUUCCCCUGUCUUCUGAUCUUAAUGAUGGGCUCUUUUGCAGCACAGACAUCUUGAGUGUUUGUAUAUUUUUAUUUUUUGUAAAUAGAGGGUGGAAGUGGUAAAACCCAACUGCCUUUUUUUUCUUGUCUAGGUGGCGGCAGUCCAGGUGAUUUUUCUCCACUUCCUAUCUAUUGACUGUUGGCUAGUGACAAAUUUUAGCCUUUUAUAGCUGGGCAUUCGUGCCCAGUGACACCCAGUCCCUGGGGGGGGGGGGGGGGGAUAAAUACAAUUACUCUAGUCGACUUUUUUUUUCCAUAAUCCUUUUAUUUUUUAUUUUUAUUAUGCUUCAUAUUUAAGAAUUGAUUUAUUGCUCCAGAUUAGUCUAAUUUGAAAAUAUAUUGAGGUUUAGAAUGUUGAGGAUUUUAUUUGAAUGCAUUUCUUUAAAUGUCUUGAUUUGAGCAGCUUUUGUGGCUUUAUAUUUAGGAUAUGCAGCUUUUUGUUUUCUGAUGCCGUAAGUUACUAACCCUGUUAUAUAUUUAUACAUAGUGGGUUUUUUUUUUUUUUUUUUUUUUUUUGCUGUGGCUUGCUAACUAUUAAUAGUUCAAAUAUCAGUUCUGUGGGUAUUUAAUAUUGACAAAUGUGCUGUCACAUUAGUGUCACACAAAUGUGAAUGCAUUUCUGCCCUUUGUGAAAUGAUGCCCACGGAUGAUAAGUGGCCGUGACUACAGAAGAUCGGCCCUUGUAUCUUGCCUAAAGCCAGUAUCCUAGUCGACCGUCAUAAGCCAGUAUCCUAGUCGACCGUCAUAAGGAUUGAGGUAACUGUAAUGCAUUAUUCUGUAUGUACACAAAUAUUUACAUAGUUGUGUGCCUAUCAAAAUGUCAGAAAUGUGCCACACGUGGUCUGCUGUUUUCCUGUAGGAAUGAGGGCGAUGUUUAAAUACAGAAUAUUGCUUUUUUUUUUUUUUUUUUUUUUUUUUCUCUCUUUUGGCUAGAGUGGUGAAAGGUAAAUGCUGCUGAAUGUUUUGUCAAAAAAAGUAAAUUUUUACAUUGGGACAGGAACUGAUGGAAUAUCUUUCCAAAGGCGACACGGCAAUAAUAAAAAAAAUUGUGAGAAAAUACUAAUGCCUUGCUUUUAACUUUCACACACUAGCCAAAUAUAUGAACUUUGACUUGUUUGUUCUGCUAAAAACAAUUGGGGGGGGGGGGGGGUCUUUUCUGAAAAUAGUUUGUGUGCGAAGAUCCUUUAGUUAUCUGUUGGUAAUUUUUUUUUUUUUUUUAAACAUAAUUGGUGGUAUACCAUAUUGAUUUUUUUAAUACAUAGAGAAAUAUAUAAGCUUACAGCCUUUUGGGUUACACAUUUUCCACAAUGGGCAAUGGUACAUUUGUCAAACUCGAACCCAUAGUGUAGACAACGUUAAGAUUAUAGAUUUGUUCAGUUUUUUUUUCCCCCCUCUGGGAAGCUAUGGAAUUCAUUUUUUAUGGUACAAAUAUAACUGUUAUAAAGAGAUUGAUUUUCAAUAGUUCAUGUUUAACUGCUCAGGAUUACUACAUAAUAAAGGUUUUAGUUAUUAAGAUUUUAGGUUUGUUUGGUUGAGUACUGCACAUCCUGAAGUGUGUAAGGUUAAAAUUGAAUAUCAUAUUCAAACAACUGUAUUGUUUGCAACUGCAUAUGCAUGAUUCGUGUGAAGCUUUUUUUUUUACUGUGAUUUAACAUUGUACAGAAUAAACACAAAUGAUCCUGCC